rnacentral:rRNA from 1 species
GCGGCAAUUCCAGCUCCAAUAGCGUAUAUUAAAGUUGUUGCAGUUAAAAAGCUCGUAGUUGAAUUUCGGGAUUGACACAUCGGUCGUGCCUUAAGGGGUAUGAACUGGUGUAGUCAAUUUCUCACCUUCUGGAGAACGGCGAUGCCCUUAAUUGGGUGUCGCGGGGAACCAGGACCUUUACUUUGAAAAAAUUAGAGUGUUUAAAGCAGGCAUUUUGCUUGAAUACAUUAGCAUGGAAUAAUAAAAUAGGACGGCAUGAUUCUAUUUUGUUGGUUUCUAGGAUCACCGUAAUGAUUAAUAGGGAUAGUUGGGGGCAUUAGUAUUCAAUUGUCAGAGGUGAAAUUCUUGGAUUUAUUGAAGACUAACUACUGCGAAAGCAUUUGCCAAGGAUGUUUUCAUUAAUCAAGAACGAAAGUUAGGGGAUCGAANACGAUCAGAUACCGUCGUAGUCUUAACCAUAAACUAUGCCGACUAGGAAUCAGACGAUGUUAAUUUUUUAAUGACUCGUUCGGCGCCUUACCGAAACAAA